AUAAGCAAUUAAGGGCACACGGUGGAUGCCUAGGCAUGCAGAGGCGAAGAAGGACGUGUAAAGCUGCGAUAAGCUGCGGGGAGUUGCAAAAGAACUGUGAUCCGCGGAUUUCCGAAUGGGGCAACCCACUCUAAUUUAUUAGGGUAUCCUUUCGAGGAGGCAUACCCGGGGAACUGAAACAUCUAAGUACCCGGAGGAAGAGAAAACAACAGUGAUUCCGCAAGUAGUGGCGAGCGAACGCGGAGCAGCCCAAACCGCAUCCUACGGGGUGCGGGGUAGUAGGACCUGCGUAAUUUUUGUAAUCUUAAAUCGAAGCUGUCUGGAAAGCAGCGCCACAGAAGGUGAAAGCCCUGUAGGUGUACCGAUUACAAAAAGGCGGGUAUCCUGAGUAGCGCGAGACCGGUGAAAUCUUGCGUGAACCAGCCGGCACCAUCCGGUAAGGCUAAAUACAUCUGCAUGACCGAUAGUGAACCAGUACCGUGAGGGAAAGGUGAAAAGAACGCCGAGAAGGCGAGUGAAAUAGUACCUGAAACCGUGUGCUUACAAGCGGUCGGAGCUGCAUUUAUGUAGUGACGGCGUGCCUUUUGUAUAAUGAGCCUACGAGUUGCUCCUGUUGUGCGAGGUUAAGCCCCUAAGGGGUGGAGCCGUAGCGAAAGCGAGUCUGAAUAGGGCGUGCAGUACAGCGGGGCAGACGCGAAACCAAGUGAUCUAUCCAUGGUCAGGGUGAAGCGGUGGUAAGACACCGUGGAGGCCCGAACCGGUUGACGUUGAAAAGUCUUCGGAUGAACUGUGGAUAGGGGUGAAAGGCCAAUCAAACUUGGAGAUAGCUCGUACUCCCCGAAAUAUAUUUAGGUAUAGCGUCUGGUUUUGUCUCACUGGAGGUAGAGCACUGAUUAGGCUAGGGCCCUUCACCGGGUACCAACCCUAGACAAACUCCGAAUACCAGUGAUGAGCCGCCAGGCAGUCAGUCGCAGGGUGAUAACGUCCUGUGGCGAGAGGGGAACAACCCAGACCACCAGCUAAGGUCCCUAAAUACCGACUAAGUUGAUCAAAGAAAGUUGAGUUGCUCAGACAACUAGGAGGUUGGCUUAGAAGCAGCCAUUCCUUUAAAGAGUGCGUAAUAGCUCACUAGUCAAGCGACUCGGCGUCGAUAAUAAUCGGGCAUAAGUCGGUUACCGAAGCUGUGGGAUUUAACGAUCGGUAGGGGAGCAUUCCAGUCAGCGCAGAAGCAGCGCCCGCGAGGGGCCGUGGAGCGGCUGGAAGCGAAAAUGUAGGCAUGAGUAACGAUAAGAAGGGUGAAAAACCUUUCCACCGUAAACCCAAGGGUUCCUGAUCAACGCUAAUCGGAUCAGGGUUAGUCGAGACCUAAGGUGUACCCGGUGAGGCCGGGGAAGCCGAUGGCAAAGCGGUUAAAUAUUCCGCUACCGAAGCCAACGUAUGGCUAAGGCGUGACGCAGAAGUGACACUCCCGCGUGCUGACGAAUGCACGUUAAAGGGCGUAGGCCGGGGGGCAGGCAAAUCCGCCUCCCGUUAAGGCUGAACCCCGACAGUACUCGGAUUCUCACGAUGAAGAGAUAGUGGAGGUAAUCAUGCUGCCAAGAAAAGCGUCGUAGUUUGUUGUCUUCGCUCGUACCCCAAACCGACACAGGUGGGUGAGGAGAGUAUCCUCAGGUGCUCGAGUAAUUCAUGGCUAAGGAACUAGGCAAAUUCGAUCCGUAACUUCGGGAGAAGGAUCCCCUGACUAUGUCAGGGCGCAGUGAAAAGGCCCAAGCGACUGUUUACCAAAAACACAUGUCUCUGCUAAGCCGUAAGGCGAUGUAUAGGGACUGACACCUGCCCGGUGCUGGAAGGUUAAAGAAGGGGGUUAGCUUCGGCGAAGCCCUUGACUGAAGCCCCAGUAAACGGCGGCCGUAACUAUAACGGUCCUAAGGUAGCGAAAUUCCUUGUCGGGUAAGUUCCGACCUGCACGAAUGGUGUAACGACUUGGGCACUGUCUCGGCCAUGAGCUCGGUGAAAUUGUGGUAUCGGUGAUGACGCCGAUUACCCGCAGCGGGACGAAAAGACCCCGUGAACCUUUACUACAACUUUACAUUGGCUUUAGCUGUCGCAUGUGUAGGAUAGGCGGGAGACUUUGAAGCGGCGUCGCCAGGCGUUGUGGAGUCACCCUUGAAAUACCGCCCUUGCCACAGGUGAAGUCUAACCCUUAAGGGGGAACAGUGUAUGGUGGGUAGUUUGACUGGGGCGGUCGCCUCCUAAAGAGUAACGGAG
rnacentral:rRNA from 1 species